rnacentral:lncRNA from 1 species
UUUAUAACUGCGCUUUUUUUUUAAACUAGAUAUCCUUAGAUUGACUCUGUAGUCUCUUAACAAUGCUCCACUAGGAACCAAUGCAGCAGAUGUAGUAGUUACAUAAUGGAACUUUACUGUGCCAGACUAUAGAAACUUGGUUUUGUUACAGGGCUAGGUGUGGGAUCCAGGACUUCCCACCUGUGGCCUGAGCUGUACCACUGAGCCACACACCCAGGUCUAGGGUAUGGUUACUUAUUGAUUGCUGGGCAGUCCCAGACCUGUUUUACAAGUGCAGCAUUUAGCAGUUUAUACUGGCAUUACUGCAAUCACAAGACCUUUCCCAGGCUUCUCUCUUAUGCCUCCUCCUUUUGUGGGAGGGAAUGUCCACAGAACCACACCCAGGGCCUCACACCUGAGACAAGCAUUCUUUCCACCAAUCUGCAGGCCUUCCUCUGUUACAUUUUAAGUAGACUGUCCCAAGAUUGGGAUGACACCUCAUCUCCGUUAUGCCAUCUCUUUCACAUGCUAAAUAUAUGUACUCAACUACCAUGGUGACUCUGAGUUCAAGGCCAGCCUGGUCUGCAGAGCAAGUUCCAGAAAAGCCAAGGAAUCCAGAGAAACGCUGUCUUGAAAACCCAAAACAACUUCCCUAUUCAUGGACUUGCCAGUGCUGCUCAUCUUCCCUCUUAAAUGUCAUCUGUUACUGGAUCAGUCUGCGUCAGAUAUUUAUUGCGUACUCUACCUGUGUAAAUAAAUAAUGUACUUUUUGAAAUUUUAUCAUUGUAUAUGUGCAUGCAUCCACCGUGAACGCAUGUGUAGGUCAGAAGACAACUGGGAGUUCCUCUCUCCCAGCGUGG